CACCCAGUGCCCGGCCGGCUCCUUCCGCACUGUCCUGCGAGGUGCAGGCCCCUUCUCCAAGGGCAAGAGGACAGGCCUGGAGCUCGGACAUCAUGGGUGUCCCUCGACUCCCUGUAGCCCCAGCUCUGGCCCUUGCCUCCAACGUGCCUGCCAGACCCCACUGGAGAAAACCAACCCACUCAGGCCACCCUCCUGCUGUGCAGCAAUCCUGUGCACCCCCUUGGCCAGCCUGCACUUGGGGACAUGGAGACACUUGCUGGACAGGCAGCUCUUGAGCAAAGUGCCCUCUCCAAGACCACAAGGCCCCCAAAGAAGGGGGUUUCACCAGUUGACGGAGCCACACAGGGAGUGACAUGCUGAGGCCACUCACCUUGGAGUGCUGCGAGGGACACGGAAGAAUCCGGGCCACCCCCGCCUCUCCCAUCGCAAGCCCUGCCUGGAUCGCAGUCCCAGGGGAAUUCCUGAGCAGGAAGGCGAGGCCAGAGCAGGAGCAGACAUGCCCUGCCACCAGGCCGGCUGCAGACGGCCGCCCGGGGCCCUGGGCGGUCUCAGGUGGAUGUUCCUGGGCCGCUGACUCAGCACGGCCGCCCAGGCAGCACCUCGGCCUCCAGCACACACACCAGUUGCCAGAGCAUUAUUCACAACAGCCAAAAGGUGGAAACAACCCAAGUGCCCACUGGCUGGCAGAUAAAGGGAUAAACAGAACGGCACACCCACACAGCGGGUACGAUUCAGCCUGAAGGAGGAACGAAGACGCGAUGACUUCGCUGCGGUGUGGAUGAAUCUUGAGAAUACUGUGCUGAGUGCAAGAAGCCAGCCUUGAAACAAUAAACACUGUUACGAUUCCACUAAAAUGGGGUCCCCAGAGGAGUCAAAUUCAUAGAGGCAAAGCAGAAUGGUGGUACCAGGGACUGAAGAGGGGGGACCUGGGAGUCCGUGUUUAACGGGUUCCAAGUUGCAGCUGGGAGGGUGACAGAGUCCUGCACGCGGAUGCUGGAGAUGGCUGCACGCAGUGUGAAUGUACUUAAUGCCGCUGAACUGCGCACUUCAAAAUCGUUAAAAUGGCAAAUUUUACCAUGCAUGUUUUACCACAAAAAGAGCACACAGUCCCCCAUCCCAGCAUUUGGGACACACUUAUAUUAAAUGUGUGAAGCAUCCUAACCAAAUAACUAAAAACUUACUUGUAGUUUGUUUGAAAUUAAAAUAUU